GAGGGAAACCAGGGAAAAGAGACAGGUGAGGGGAAAGAGGGAAAAGAGAGAGUCGAGGGGAAAGAAGGGAAAGAGAGAGUUCAUGGAAAAGAGGGAAGCCAUGGAAAAGAGACAGGCGAG